rnacentral:sRNA from 1 species
UCAGCGUCACCAGAGACAAUAAGUCUCGCCU